GAUGAACGCUGGCGGCGUGCCUAAUACAUGCAAGUCGAGCGAACGGACGAGAAGCUUGCUUCACUGAUGUUAGCGGCGGACUGGUGAGUAACACGUGGAUAACCUACCUAUAAGACUGGGAUAACUUCGGGAAACCGGAGCUAAUACCGGAUGAUAUUUUGAACCGCAUGGUUCAAAAGUGAAAGACGGUCUUGCUGUCACUUAUAGAUGGAUCCGCGCUGCAUUAGCGAGUUGGUAAGGUAACGGCUUACCAAGGCAACGAUGCAUAGCCGACCUGAGAGGGGGAUCGGCGACACUGGAACUGGGACACGGUCCAGACUCCUAGGGGAGGCAGCAGUAGGGAAUCUUCGGCAAUGGGCGGAAUCCUGACGGAGCAACGCCGCGUGGGUGAUGAAGGUCUUCGGAUCGUAAAACUCUGUUAUUAGGGAAGAACAUAUGUGUAAGUAACUGUGCACAUCUUGACGGUACCUAAUCAGAAAGCAACGGCUAACUACGCG
rnacentral:rRNA from 1 species